AGUAAGAUAAGCUAAAAAAGCUUUUGGGCCCAUACCCCAAAAAUGUAGGUUAAACUCCUUCUCUUAUCA
rnacentral:tRNA from 1 species